GUGGAUUAGAUACCCUGGUAGUCCACGCCGUAAACGAUGAUAACUAGCUGUCCGGGCACUUGGUGCUUGGGUGGCGCAGCUAACGCAUUAAGUUAUCCGCCUGGGGAGUACGGUCGCAAGAUUAAAACUCAAAGGAAUUGACGGGGGCCUGCACAAGCGGUGGAGCAUGUGGUUUAAUUCGAAGCAACGCGCAGAACCUUACCAGCCUUUGACAUCCCGCGCUACAACCAGAGAUGGUUGGUUCCCUUCGGGGACGCGGUGACAGGUGCUGCACGGCCGUCGACAGCU
rnacentral:rRNA from 1 species